UCGCUAUAAGGUGAUGGUGUUCCCCCUUUCCCAACCGCCUCGUCCGUAAGGGGCUGAUGACGCCUGAUAACCC
rfam:Triticum urartu cultivar G1812 contig612874, whole genome shotgun sequence.